GUCCAGUGCAAUGGACAGCACGUUGGACUUCUAAUCCGAAGGUUGUGGGUUCGAAUCCCAUCUGGGAUG